CUUCUACUAUUUCAAAGCCUCCUUUUCUGAUGGUGGGUUUCCAAAAUUGCACAGUAUAUCCAGACCAUAAAGAAAAAGCAAGCUAUGCACAACUCAAAAAUGUGAAUAAUCUAUAGCACCAAAGCUAAUAAUUGUCUUGGAAUUUUUAACUGUAAGUUUAUGUUUGCAAACAUUGCAAAGAUCCCAGGUUGAAAAAUAUUGUAUUGAAGUCAUCUCUCAAAGAUAUGCAAUAUGUGAAAAAAGACAGGCUGGUAUCUGGAAGGGAAAGGGGUGGGACAGCUUUGAUUCUGAAUGAAAGAAUCACUAUGCCCACUACACACCGAUUUCACAAAAUUAAGGGGUCAAGGAAGGAAACUAGCACCAUGAAAUGGCUCUUUACUAGGUUCUGGGCAUUACCCCAUAAUCUUAUUUAAUCCUCACAACAGAUAUGUGCCUUAGGUAUUAUUAUUCCUGUUUUAUGGUGAGGAAAUUGAUGUUCAGACAGGUUAAAUAACUUGCCCAAGGCCAUCCAACUAACAAGUUGGAGAGAUGGAGUUUGAACACAGGUCUGUCUGAUUUUAAGAUUCAUGCUCUUUCCACCUCACUACACUGUCUCUUGGGCAGCUGUUCAAAACCUUUUUCUUUCAUGACCCAUGAUAUUUACAUGAACCACUCAUUAUCAUAACCAUGGGAAAUUCCCACCCCCUUUUCUCCCAUUUAUUUGAAUACAAGGAGAGUUACCCUACUAUUGGAAGAACUUCAAAUCCAUUUUAAUUUAUGUGUAUAAAAAUUUGCAAAUACAGGUGCUUCGUUAUUACGGUAGAUUUCAAAAAAUAGCCAUGGUGCUUUUCAGCUCUUCCCAGCAAGAUAUGGAGUCUAUUUCUCCACCUUGAAUCUGAGCAGGCCUUAUGACCUGAUUUGGCCAGAAGAAUGCGGUGGAAGUGACAUUGUACAUGUCUGAGCCUGGGCCUCAAGAAGCCUUGCAACUUCUGCUUCUGCUGAUCUUGGCACCUGCCCUGCUUACUGCUGCUCAUGAAGAAGCCUGGCCCAGCCUGUUGGAUGAUGAGGAGCCGGGGGUGCAGCUACAUUCAAGAUCAAUGAGUUAUAGCCACAUGCAAGGCCAUGAAAAGUAAUACCCUUCAGGAGAGUGGAGUUUCCGGUAUUCUUGCUGAGCCAAAAAGACUAGGAGAGAAAGAGCCAUGCUACCCACCAAAGUAUUCAGAAGUACAGGGUGGGCUUCAGAGAAAACUAGAAGAUUCUGCUUUGAACACAGAUAAGUAACUUCCACUUCAGUUUACCUCUAUAUACAGUGGAGUUCUGCAGGAUGGAGAGAGUGUGGAUAGCAGAUUACAGUUGCUUAUAGCUUCCUGCAGCCUUAUCUCUUCCUAAACCUUACCAUCUCCUCCAUCACCUCCUAUGCCCCUCAGACUCAGAGAAGGCAAGAAUCAACCAAAGGCAAAUAGGUAUUUUUAAAAACUUACCGAAAACUUGAUACAUCUUAACCUAUUUAUCCUGACAAAGUCAGUUCAAAAGUCCUCUCCUCCAUCAGCCUCACUUGGCUUCCCAUGCCACUCCACAAGAAAGAGUUGGUUCCUCCUUCCUGUGGAUGGGCCUAAAGGCACUGUGUUUAGCCUUUCUGAUGUUCAUGGGUCAGUAUUCUCCUGAUGCUAUGGUUUGAAUGUUUGUCCCCUCAGAAACUCAUGUUGAAACAUAAUCUCCAAUUUAACAGUAUUAAGAGAUGGGGUCUUUAAGAAGUGAUUGGGUUAUGAGGGCUCUUUCCAUAACCCAAUGGAUAAACAGAUUAAUGAAUUAACAGAUUAAUGGGUUAAUGGAUUAAAUGGAUUAAUAGAUUAAUGGGUUAAUGGAUUAAAUGGGUUAUCACAUGAAUGGGGUGGUUAUCACAAGAGUAGAUAUGUUAUAAGAGCCAGUUUGGCUCUCGGUGCAACCCCCCUAUUACCCUGGGAUGCCUUCCACAAUGUUAUGACACAGCAUGAAGCCCUCACCAGAAGCCAACCAGAUGCAACCACUUGAUCUUGGACUUCUCAGCCUCUAGAACUGAUGAAGGUAAGAUACUGAAGAAUUCCAAGAAGACUGGAGGGGGCAGUGCUGGAGGAGAAGAAAGCAACAUAGGGCCUGGUGCAAGCCCAUGCAGGAUGGGGCCCCUUCCCAGAAGUCCUGAGCUAGAGCCCCGGAAUCCUGCCCUGGAAUCUCUACUGGAGCUACCCUCUGGCCCUUCUUUAAGACGUUCAAAUGUCGGAGCAGAAGAGGAGAAGGAAGAAAGGGUUGUCCUCUUUGUCUUGGGUAGUUUGAUGCCUCAGAAGGAGAGCAAAGGCGAAAACGUUGGCCAGCCAGUAUGAACAAUGCAAGGUCCUCAAAGCUUAGGAGCCACUGACCCUAAAUGUCAAAGUCAGCCUUGAGUGAGGGUCAAGUGCAGAUUCCCCUCCUCACAGCUGUUCCUGUGAAAGGGCUCACUUUCAUUGGGAAACAUAGUUAUCUUCUCUCCCAGAAUAGGAAGUGGCUACAGCACAAGCCCCUCUUCGUUAGACCCAGCCUCCCCCUCCCCUUUGUCUUGCCAAGAAAUGCUGCAAACCCCAAAUACCUGCAUUCU
rnacentral:lncRNA from 1 species